rnacentral:misc_RNA from 1 species
AACGCACCUUGCGCUCCUUGGUAUUCUGAGGAGCAUGCCUGUUUGAGUGUCAUGAAAUUCUCAACUGCUUCAGCUUUUACGGUUGAAGUGAAGUUGGAUUUGGAGGAAUAAUUGCUGGCGUGACCUUUUAUAGGUUGCUUGUCAGCUCCUCUUAAAUGGAUGAACUUUCCAGUAGUAAAGUAACACCAAUGUGAUAAUUAUCUACGUUGGAUAAGCUUGAACAAGGAAAGAUGAAAUCUGUCUUGGAGGGAAAACCCCCUUGACGAAACAAAUGACAAAUUUGACCUCAAAUCAGGUAGGAUUACCCGCUGAACUUAA